CCAAUUUUAGUUCAGUUGGUAGAGCACAAGACUGAAAUGGUUACUUGUCAUCUUGAUGUCCUCUGUUCGAUCCGGUGAAGUCGGA